rnacentral:rRNA from 1 species
GCCUGCCCAGUGACCAUGUGUUCAACGGCCGCGGUAUUCUGACCGCGCGAAGGUAGCGUAAUCACUUGUCUUCUAAAUAAAGACUAGUAUGAACGGCCACACGAAGACUUAACUGUCUCCCCUGUCCAAUCAGUGAAACUGAUCUCCUUGUGCAGAAGCGAGGAUAAACCCAUAAGACGAGAAGACCCUAUGGAGCUUUAAACUUAAUAUUAACUAUUUCUAUAAUCCCCUCUAAGGAAUUAACAAAUAACCCUUUUCAACUUAAUAUUAGUUUUAGGUUGGGGCGACCAUGGAGAAAAAAAUAUCCUCCCUGAUGACUUUUAAACCAAGAGCUACAGCUCUAAGUAUUAAGAUACUUAACUUCCAUUGACCCAUUUUAUGAUCAACGAACCAAGUUACCCUAGGGAUAACAGCGCAAUCCAUUUCAAGAGUCCCUAUCGACAAAUGGGUUUACGACCUCGAUGUUGGAUCAGGGCAUCCCAGUGGUGCAACCGCUACUAAUGGUUCGUUUGUUCAACGAUUAAAGCCCU